CCCCGGCCCUAUCGAAGCUGUGUCCGUCCCGCGCUGUGGCGGACGCAGUCAAACAGGAGCCGAGAGCCACGCGUUUUCCCCGACGGUCGCUGCGCAGCGCUGUGCGUAUGGCUGCCCGGCAACAUAUGGGGGAAAUACAGGG
rnacentral:snoRNA from 1 species